UGAGAUGUGUAAACUCCUCAUGUGCUUGGAUU
rnacentral:piRNA from 1 species